GAUUUACUUCGGUAAUGACGUUGGGAAAGCGAGCGGCGGAUGGGUGAGUAACACGUGGGGAACCUGCCCCUAAGUCUGGGAUACCAUUUGGAAACAGGUGCUAAUACCGGAUAAUAAAGCAGAUCGCAUGAUCAGCUUUUGAAAGGCGGCGUAAGCUGUCGCUAAGGGAUGGCCCCGCGGUGCAUUAGCUAGUUGGUAAGGUAACGGCUUACCAAGGCGACGAUGCAUAGCCGAGUUGAGAGACUGAUCGGCCACAUUGGGACUGAGACACGGCCCAAACUCCUACGGGAGGCAGCAGUAGGGAAUCUUCCACAAUGGACGCAAGUCUGAUGGAGCAACGCCGCGUGAGUGAAGAAGGUUUUCGGAUCGUAAAGCUCUGUUGUUGGUGAAGAAGGAUAGAGGUAGUAACUGGCCUUUAUUUGACGGUAAUCAACCAGAAAGUCACGGCUAACUACGUGCCAGCAGCCGUGGUAAUACGUAGGUGGCAAGCGUUGUCCGGAUUUAUUGGGCGUAAAGCGAGCGCAGGCGGAAAAAUAAGUCUAAUGUGAAAGCCCUCGGCUUAACCGAGGAACUGCAUCGGAAACUGUUUUUCUUGAGUGCAGAAGAGGAGAGUGGAACUCCAUGUGUAGCGGUGGAAUGCGUAGAUAUAUGGAAGAACACCAGUGGCGAAGGCGGCUCUCUGGUCUGCAACUGACGCUGAGGCUCGAAAGCAUGGGUAGCG
rnacentral:rRNA from 1 species